UACAGAGGUCUCAAGCGUUGUUCGGAUUCAUUGGGCGUAAAGGGUGCGUAGGUGGCGCGGUAGUCGGGUGUGAAAUCUCGGAGCUUAACUCCGAAAUUGCAUUCGAUACUGCCGUGCUCGAGGACUGGAGAGGAGACUGGAAUUCAUGGUGUAGCAGUGAAAUGCGUAGAGAUCAUGAGGAAGACCAGUGGCGAAGGCGGGUCUCUGGACAGUUCCUGACGCUAGGAGACGAAGGCCAGGGGAGCAAACGGG
rnacentral:rRNA from 1 species